rnacentral:rRNA from 1 species
GAUGAACGCUGGCGGCGUGCCUAAUACAUGCAAGUCGAGCGAACGGACGAGAAGCUUGCUUCUCUGAUGUUAGCGGCGGACGGGUGAGUAACACGUGGAUAACCUACCUAUAAGACUGGGAUAACUUCGGGAAACCGGAGCUAAUACCGGAUAAUAUUUUGAACCGCAUGGUUCAAAAGUGAAAGACGGUCUUGCUGUCACUUAUAGAUGGAUCUGCGCUGCAUUAGCUAGUUGGUAAGGUAACGGCUUACCAAGGCAACGAUGCAUAGCCGACCUGAGAGGGUGAUCGGCCGCACUGGAACUGAGACACGGUCCAGACUCCUACGGGAGGCAGCAGUAGGGAAUCUUCCGCAAUGGGCGAAAGCCUGACGGAGCAACGCCGCGUGAGUGAUGAAGGUCUUCGGAUCGUAAAACUCUGUUAUUAGGGAAGAACAUAUGUGUAAGUAACUGUGCACAUCUUGACGGUACCUAAUCAGAAAGCCACGGCUAACUACGUG